UUAACCUAACCUCGCGCCAGGACAUGUGGGCCUGGCAGCGGACCUGGGGCAUGGCGCCAUGCGCAGCCGUGCCCUGAAAUGCGCGAGAGUGUGGCCAUCUUCGCCUGAACGGUCUGGCUGCGUGUUGCAAGUCGCUUCGGCGCACCGCACGCGCGCACUGCCACGGCCGCCUCGGCGCAGGCCAUGGCCACGCUGCACGACAACGAAGCGCGCACCCGCGUGCGCACCCC
rnacentral:misc_RNA from 1 species